AUUGAACGCUGGCGGCAGGCCUAACACAUGCAAGUCGAGCGGACGAAGGGAGCUUUCUCCUGGAUUCAGCGGCGGACGGGCGAGUAAUGCCCAGGAAGCUGCCUUGUAUUUGGGGAUAACGUCCGGAAACGGGCGCUAAUACCGCAUACGUCCUGAUGGUGAAAGUGGGGGAUCUUCGGACCUCACGCUAUCAGAUGAGCCUAGGUCGGAUUAGCUAGCUGGUGUGGUAAAGGCGUACCAAGGCGACGAUCCGUAACUGGCCUGAGAGGAUGAUCAGCCACACUGGAACUGAGACACGGUCCAGACUCCUACGGGAGGCAGCAGUGGGGAAUAUUCGGCAAUGGGCGAAAGCCUGAUGCAGCAAUGCCGCGUGUGUGAUGAAGGUCUUCGGAUUGUAAAGCACUUUUAUUUGGGAGGAAGAACAGUAAGUUAAUACCUUGCUGUUUUGACGUUACCAACAGAAUAAGCCCCGGCUAACUUCGUG
rnacentral:rRNA from 1 species